ensembl:lncRNA
UAUCAAGAAGGCACCGGGAAAUCGGGGUCCUUCGGAAUGUGGAACCACCCAUGAGGCCACGUCUGGAAUGUCGUCGUGAGACCGGCCUCAUCCUGAGGGUGGAGUUCGAAGAGGUGUCCGGGCAUCGGGUUCUAUCAAGAAGGCACCGGGAAAUCGGGGUCCUUCGGAAUGUGGAACCACCCAUGAGGCCACGUCUGGAAUGUCGUCGUGAGACCGGCCUCAUCCUGAGGGUGGAGUUCGAAGAGGUGUCCGGGCAUCGGGUUCUUAUCAAGAGGGGACCGGGAAAUCGGGGUCCUUCGGAAUGUGAAACCACCCACGAGGCCACGUCUGGAAUGUCGUCGUGAGACCGGCCUCAUCCUGAGGUGCGACCGGAAAGUCGGGAACCCCUUCC